rnacentral:rRNA from 1 species
UCGAGAAUUUUUCUCAAUGGGGGAAACCCUGAAGGAGCGACGCCGCGUGGAGGAUGAAGGCUUUCGGGUUGUAAACUCCUGUCAUUAGGGAACAAUUGCCGCCGGUUAACUGUCGGCGGCUUGAUAGUACCUGAAGAGGAAGGGACGGCUAACUCUGUGCCAGCAGCCGCGGUAAUACAGAGGUCCCAAGCGUUGUUCGGAUUCAUUGGGCGUAAAGGGUGCGUAGGUGGUGCCGUAAGUUGGGUGUGAAAUCUCGGGGCUUAACCCCGAAACUGCAUUCAAUACUGCGGUGCUCGAGUACUGGAGAGGAGACUGGAAUUCACGGUGUAGCAGUGAAAUGCGUAGAUAUCGUGAGGAAGGCCAGUGGCGAAGGCGGGUCUCUGGACAGUUACUGACACUGAGGCACGAAGGCCAGGGGAGCAAACGG